UUGUUAUAUAAAUCUUUCAGGUCAGCUUGUCACUCUUCGAGAUGUUGAUUUGGGCUGAGGCAGUGGAUAGCUAUUCAGAAUUAUGGGCAAGUCUGGGUGGUUAUUAUGAUAUUGUUGUAUAAGUAUGUUUUGUAUGUAAUGAAAUGUUGUCGAUGAAUCGAAAUGGAUAUACUGUGUAAAAGUGUUAGAAGAUCUCUCUUAUUUGGAAUUUCGGAAUGUUAAGUCUAAUUUAUGACGAUAUAAACUUGUGGUGAAUAGUUGGAGUUCUAAUUGUAUAAUUUAUUUAGCUUGUGGAUUUAUAAAUGUUGUUCAUGUUUGUCAAGUUGGCUUGGGUUGCCAUAAAUGUGAAUUAUCGAGUGAUGUGAUAUAUGAUUUUAAAAUGCACAGGUUUUAUGGAUGUGAAUUUGAUUGAAUGUUUUUCAGUGUCCUCAAACGUUAGUUUGGAUCCUGGAUGGAUUGGUCUGUGUUGAAAUUGUUUUAAAAAUUAUGGAUAUUUUGAGGGGCGUGACAGCGAUGGCUGUGAUAGUUGUGUUUGAAAAAGAAAACGAAGGAAUGAGAGUAAGAGAGAGUAGGUGACUAUGCCUCUAUGUUCUGCAUGAGCUGCAGUUGUGGAAGAAAAAGAGAAGACAUAUGUAGAACAUGGAACAGGGAGAGGACACGGAGGAAAAGUAGAAGGAUUUGGGUUGACACCUUCUUUGGAUCUUCGGAUCAAAAUCUUUGAAAGGCAAGUGUUCCGAUCCUUCCUAUUGUAAGCUUUCUAAUCUUUCCUAUUGCAAGUGUCCUGAUCUUUCCUUACUCUAAUUUGAUCUCUACAUUUGCUUUGAAUAUGAGGAACUUUAAAUUGUUCUAACCUUGCAUUUGAUAUAUCUCCUGUUUAGACAUAACGAUUCGAAUCUCUGCAACGUCUGAGAUUCUGACCUUUUGAUACUGAACUACCUAUAAGUCUUAUUGAAAAUAUUGAUUUAUUCAAAUCUUAUUACAUUGGAAACUAGACUCAUAGAUCUUUCUUUUGAUACCUGGAUUAAAAGAUUUAGAGUCCAAAUGUUUGCUCAGUUAUCUAUUGAAUCCGACCCUUUGGAUUAUGCAAAAUAAUGAUUUUGUUUUCUGACCUUUGGUUACUAAAUCAAUUGUAACUCUUUUUUGGAAAUUUCGAUUCAUACGAGACAUGUUUUAUUUGAAAAUAGAUUGAAAUAUCUUUCCAAUGAUAUAUUUCUGAGUAAAUUAGAGCACGAAUAAUAAUUUGAAUCAUUUGAUCAAUGUGCCUCUUGAAUUCUGUCAAAAAUCGAGCUUUGGUCGAUUUCGCAUAUUCUGGUUUUAUUCCUUUGGAAAUUGAUAUCCUUUAGCUUUCUUAUUCAAUCGAGCUUUAUACUACUACUUUGAAUUCUUAUAUGCUCUUGUCCUUAAAAUUAUUUACAUUCUUGAAAACUAUUGUGUAACGUUUAUACUAUAUCGUAUUGACUAAUAUAUGCACAUGUAUAUCCCAUUGUUCCGCAUUUGCUUUCGAUAUGUGCCUAUUCCAGUUUCAUUCCUUUGUACAUUGAAUUCAUCUAACCUUCUUAUUUGAAUUGAGUUAUAUGUGAUUGCUUUGAAUCCUUGAAUGCUCUUAUUUUCAUUUCCUUUCAAAUAUGAAUACAAUUGUGAAAGAUUAUUGCUUACUUCGUAUUGACUCGUAAAGGCACAUGUACAUUUUGUUGUACCACGUGUGCUUCCGAUAUGUGCUAUUUAUUGUUCAUACUAUCCUUUUGUACUCUGGUGUUUGUCGGAUAUUGUGAACCUUUGCCAGAAAUGGUGAAGGGGGUUAUGCAUAGAGCCUAUGAUGCUCUGCCGGCCCUUAUGACUUCACUUAGACGUGGGUGGAUGGAGAUCCCAAACGUGGGAGACCUCCCAGACGUGGGAGACUUAUGUUUAGUGGUCAUUCAGAAAUGGAUGUACCAUAUUAUGUUAUAGUCCCACUUCACCUUUUAUAUGUUUGAUAUGAUAUCCAGAGCUUUGGUUAUGUGUUUCUAUACAUGCUUUGGAUAAGAAUGAAAUGAAUGCAACGUCAAUUCGACGUUUGAGCUUCUGUUUCAUAUUCGUUCUUUGAAAAGCUCCGAAAUGGUCCAUACGCCAUUGAUAUGUUCCGAAAUAUUUCAUUUAUUAUUGAUAUGCUUCGAAACAUUUCAUACGAUAUUGGUAUGCUCCAAUUACUCUGUGCUUCAUUCGCUAUGAACUGAUAUAUUCUGAAAUGACCUAUUUGCCAUUGAUAUGCUCCAGAACAUCUCAUACGCUAUUGAUAUGCUCCAUCUGUUAUCAACCAAAUAGGUUUUGAAUGACAUGAAACAUAUGAUAUUGUAUCUAAUUAGAUGGUAUCCUUGAGAAAUCUUGUAUUCUGCCUUGCAUUAUGAUAUCUUACUUGUUUGAAACCGUUCCUUUUGUUCUAAAUAUGCUUUGUGACUUGCUGAGCUGUUUUUAGCUCACUCUGUUAUUAUAUAAAUCUUUCAGGUCAAGUUGUUACUCUUUGAGAUGUUUUGAAUUGGGCUGAGGUAGUGGAGAGCUAUUUAGAAUUAUGGGCAAGUCUUAUUGGUUAUUAUGUUAUUGUUGUAUAAGCAUAUUUUGUAUGUAAUGAAAUGUUGUCGAUGAAUCGAAAUGUAUAUACUGUGUAAAAGUAUUAGAAGUUCUCUCUUAUUUGGAAUUUCAGAAUGUUAAGUCUAGUUUAUGAUGAUAUGAACUUGUGGUGAAUAAUUGAAGUUCUGAUUAUAUAAUUUAUUUAGCUUGUGGAUUUAUAAAUGUUGUUCAUGUUUGUCAAGUUUGGCUUGGGUUGCCAUAAAUGCGAAUUAUCGAGUGAUGUGAUAUAUGAUUAUAAACUGCACAGGUUUUAUAGAUGUGAAUUUGAUAGAAUGUUUUUCAGUGUCCUCAAAUGUUAGUUUGGAUCCUGGAUUGGUUUGUGAU
rnacentral:lncRNA from 1 species